AUCCAGGGAUAAAAUCGAACCCACAGUGUUCCGCCUACCGGGCAGAUGCCAUGUCCACUAGGCUACCCUGGA
rnacentral:tRNA from 1 species